rnacentral:misc_RNA from 1 species
GAUGAAGAACGCAGCGAAAUGCGAUAAGUAAUGUGAAUUGCAGAAUUCAGUGAAUCAUCGAAUCUUUGAACGCACAUUGCGCCCCCUGGUAUUCCGGGGGGCAUGCCUGUUCGAGCGUCAUUUCACCACUCAAGCCUCGCUUGGUAUUGGGCAACGCGGUCCGCCGCGUGCCUCAAAUCGACUGGCUGGGUCUUCUGUCCCCUAAGCGUUGUGGAAACUAUUCGCUAAAGGGUGUUCGGGAGGCUACGCCGUAAAACAACCCCAUUUCUAAGGUUGACCUCGGAUCAGGUAGGGAUACCCGCUGAACUUAAGCAUAUCAAUAAGCGGAGGA